rnacentral:rRNA from 1 species
UACGGGGGGUGCGAGCGUUGUCCGGAAUCACUGGGCGUAAAGGGCGCGUAGGUGGUUUGAUAAGGGUGUGGUGAAAGUCCGGGGCUCAACCCCGGAUCUGCCGUGCCGACUGUCAAACUCGAGGACUGUAGAGGCAGACGGAAUUCCGGGUGUAGCGGUGGAAUGCGUAGAGAUCCGGAGGAAGACCGGUGGCGAAGGCGGUCUGCUGGGCAGUUUCUGACACUGAGACGCGAAGGCGUGGGGAGCGAACGGG